UUUCCGUAGGUGAACCUGCGGAAGGAUCAUUACCGAGCAAUCAUCCCCCAAGCAGGAACUAGACCUGUCUAAAAAACUAUACUGCCGCUGUCCCUACGGUCGAGACUCUUUUGAGCUGCCGGGAGGUUGUACGGCGGUCUUGUAAACCCCGAGAAAGGAAAAACCGUUAUGCGAAGUUGGGCGAGGGGCGCCUCGCCGAGGGGGGUUUUUACUACUACUACUGUUGUAGUAAAGUCUUCACUCGAAUCAAAGCGCACCCCACUUUCAACCCCACUAAACUCUGAAUCUGAACUCAAAGGGGGGCAAGUCACUUGCUCUCCCAACCUUUUAACGUUGUAAAACUUUCAGCGACGGAUGUCUUGGCUCCCACAACGAUGAAGAACGCAGCGAAAUGCGAUACGUCUUGCGACUUGCAGAAUCCAGUGAAUCAUCAAAACUUUGAACGCACCUUGCGCUUCCGGGAUAUUCCUGGGAGCAUGCUUGUCGGAGUGUCUGUUGACACCACUCGCCCCCCCUCCCCUCUCUCUCUCUCUCUCCUCCCCGGGUCAAACCGUGGGUGGGUGGGUGGAGCGGGCGGGGGUUUCGGGGGCGGACUAUGAGUGUUCCGGAGCUUUUGUUAGCCCCGAGUGCACCUAAUCUCGUGAACGAAGCCUCUCGCGCCCUGCCGCACAAGAGUUGUUGACGGCGCUCGCUUCGGCGGCGACUCUCGACUCACCAAAACGUGCGCAGGCUGCCUGCUUCUUCCGGCGCUCCUUCCUUUAGGGGAAGGAAUCCGUACCACUUUCGUUCGGACCUCCGAUCAAGCAAGAGGACCCGCUGAAUUUAAG
rnacentral:rRNA from 1 species